rnacentral:rRNA from 1 species
GAUUCCCUUAGUAGCGGCGAGCGAAUAGGGAUAAGCCCAGCACCGAAUCCCGUGGCCAAAACUGGACACUGGGAAAUGUGGUGUUCGGGAGGAUCCGUUAUCUUGUGUUUGUACGGUGCGUCCAAGUCCAUCUUGAACGGGGCCACAGCCCAUAGAGGGUGCCAGGCCCGUAGUGACCGCUGUCAUAUACAAGAGGAUCUCUCCUUAGAGUCGGGUUGCUUGAGAGUGCAGCCCUAAGUGGGUGGUAAACUCCAUCUAAGGCUAAAUAUAACCACGAGACCGAUAGCGAACAAGUACCGUGAGGGAAAGUUGAAAAGAACUUUGAAGAGAGAGUUCAAUAGUACGUGAAACCGUUUAGGGGUAAACCUGAGAAACCCGAAAGAUCGAAAGAGGAGAUUCAGCGUGUCUCGAUUAUGAUACUGUGAUAAUUGUGUGACAAAUUAACGUUCGCGUUUAUUUGCAUCUUUUGUUCAGUUUUAAUUAUGGUCGAACGCGUGCACUUCUCCUCUAGUAGAACGUUGCGAUCCGUUGAGUGUCGAUUUAAGGCCAAUGGUGGAGUCUAUUAUAUUAUUUAAUAUAAUAAACCCAUUGUGUUUCCCAAUCGGCUUGCUCGACGGUAUUUUAAAUGGUAUGAGGCCGCUUUUUAAAAGCGUUUAUUUAUGUAGCAAGUAUGUUUGUAAUAAUAGUAGAUUGGACCUAGUGCCAAUCCUAUAUACAAAUUGCUGUUGGUUACGUAAUUCUUAAACAGACCUCAUUAUAAUUCUUUUAGAAUUAUAUUACCGAUCAGCGACGAUAUAGCUUUGGGUACUUUCAGGACCCGUCUUGAAACACGGACCAAGGAGUCUAGCAUGUACGCAAGUCAUUGGGACUUAUACUAAACCUAAAGGCGUAAUGAAAGUGAAAAUUUGUUUUUGCACAAAUUAAGGGAGGAUAUGUUGAUUUUAGUUUAUUUUUAAUAAACAAUCGCUUCGCACUCCCGGGGCGUCUCAUUCUUAUUGCAAGAAGAGGCGCACCAAGAGCGUACACGCUGGGACCCGAAAGAUGGUGA